rnacentral:rRNA from 1 species
GAUGAACGCUGGCGGCGUGCCUAAUACAUGCAAGUAGAACGCUGAAGGAAGGAGCUUGCUCUUUCCGGAUGAGUUGCGAACGGGUGAGUAACGCGUAGGUAACCUGCCUGGUAGCGGGGGAUAACUAUUGGAAACGAUAGCUAAUACCGCAUAACAGUAGAUGUUGCAUGAUAUCUACUUAAAAGGUGCAAUUGCACCACUACCAGAUGGACCUUCGUUGUAUUAGCUAGUUGGUGAGGUAACGGCUCACCAAGGCGACGAUACAGAGCCGACCCGAGAGGGUGGUCAGCCGGACUGGGACGGUGACACGGCCCAGUCGCCUACGGGAGGCAGCAGUAGUGAAUCUGCGGCAAUCGGCGGAAGACUGACCGCGAUGCGCCGCGUGAGUGAAGAAGGUUGUCGGAUCGUAAAGCUCUGUUGUAAGAUAAGAACGAGUGUGAGAGUGGAAAGUUCACAGUGUGACGGUAUCGUACCAGAAAGGGACGGCUAACUACGUG